UACGGAGGUGGCAAGCGUUGUUCGGAAUUACUGGGCGUAAAGGGCGCGUAGGCGGCCUUCUAAGUCAGACGUGAAAUCCCCCGGCUUAACCUGGGAACUGCGUCUGAUACUGGGAGGCUUGAGUAUGGGGAGAGGGAUGUAGAAUUCCAGGUGUAGCGGUGAAAUGCGUAGAUAUCUGGAGGAAUACCGGUGGCGAAGGCGGCAUCCUGGACCCGGCAUUGACGCUGAGG
rnacentral:rRNA from 1 species